rnacentral:other from 16 species
AUUUAAAUACAUCCCAUGUUAUUGUUCAAC